GCGGGCGUGGCGGAAUUGGUAGACGCAAGCGACUUAAAAUCGCUUGGGCUUGUCCCGUGCCGGUUCGAGUCCGGCCGCCCGCACCA
rnacentral:tRNA from 1 species